GAUGUUUGAUGUAUUAAUUAAUCUUGUACAAUUUGGAUUUAGUUUGGUGACAGUGUGCUCAUCAGUAAGAGCAACACGAGCAAGAAGAUCCUGGAUAUACUUCCCUUAGGAAAUAAAGAAGCCAUUAGAGGUAUAAAAAAUCUCAAUCUCAAGGAAGUAGCGUCUUUUUUAGUAAACGUGGAGCAAUUUGGAAUUAGUUAGGCGAUUGUGAUCUUGAACAAAUUUCAUAGUGAAUUACGAGAUUUUUCAAUGAGUUUAGUUGAUUGUGAUCUGGAGGAGAUUGUUAAAGAUAUUUGAUGGUUUAUGUGAUCUUGAACAAUUUGGACUUAGUUAGGUAGUUGUGAUACUGAACCGAAUUAUGAGAUUUUUGAUUGAUUAUGAGAUUAUGGUAUAUAAGAUUUUAAUUGGAUUUAGUUAGGUGAUUGUGAUCUUGAACCAAAUUUUAUGAUGAAUUAUGACAUUUUUGAUGGAUUAGUUAGUUGAUUGUGAUCUUGAGGAUAUAGUUAAAGAUGUUUGAUGUAUUAAUUAAUCUUCAACAAUUUGGAUUUAGUUAGGUGAUUGUGAUAUUGAACCAAAUUUCUCUGUGAUUUAUGAGAUUUUAGUUGGAUUUAGUUAGGUGGUUGUGUCUUGGGAAGAUGGUCAAAGAUGUUAGGUGGAUUAUGAGAUUUUGGGUCUAAUAGAUGAGCAUGGUGAUUAUUACAUUGGUGGAUAUAUGAAUUUUUAAUAAAUUUGGAAUAAUUUGGAUUUAGUUAGGCGACUGUGCUCUUGAACCAACCUUUAUGGUUGAUUAUGAGAUUUUGUUCGGCUGCGCCAUGCCUCUUCGUCGAGGAGCAUGCGCAGUGCAGUGGUGCGGCAGCUCGUGUGGCGUGCAGUGGCUUUAGAAGGCGGGGCGCCGACACCUGCAGCUUGUGCACCAUGGCGACUCCACGCAUCUUCUGCGCCCUGCAACCCUCUCCUUGCGGGGCAAAACAGGUGAUUCAGGUGAAUGGUGCUUUAGCUUCAAUGACCAAUUUUAUUAAAAAAGGGCAGCCCCAGUGCAUGUAGCUCCCGCUUGCGCAGGGUCUGGGGAAGGGUCCGACCACUUUGGGUCUAUUGUACGCAGCCUUUCCCUACAUUUCUGUAAGAGGCUGUUUCCAGGACUUGAACCCGUGACCUCAUGGUCACAAGGCAGCAGCUUUACCACUGCGCCAAAUAUUUUUCCCACUGGAAGUGUCAAAGAAUAUACAACUUGAUAUAGAGAAGUUUUCUUAUGGGGAAAUAAAGAUUCUUGUAUGCAGAACUAUUUGGGCUCUUGCAGCUGUAUCAGUUGGUUUUAGUUCUCAGAUUUUUACUUUGCCUGUUUUGGCAAAAAAAUUGGAUGUAUAUGAAUCUGAGAUCUGGAUCACUGCUUCUUUUCAUCUGCAGUCGCGAGGAAGAGUAGGAAGAUCAGGCAGAGAGGGUUUCACAUACCUCUUCUACACUGACAAGUCUUUGCUUUCCAGGAUUGCCAUGGUGAGCUGCUACUGUAAAAAAAGGGCAACCUGGUGCAUGUAGCUCCCGCUUGCACAGGGUCCAGGGAAGGGUCCGACCACUUUGGGUCUAUAGUACGCAGCCUUUCCCUACAUUUCUGUAAGAGGCUGUUUCCAGGGGGAGCUUUGGAUGGUGUUCUUCAUAUUCCGCACAGUGACAAGAGACUUGCUGGCUUCAAGAAGGAUAAGAAGCAACUGGGCGCUGAGAUUCACCGCAAAUACAGCUAUGAAGGUCAUGUUGCUGACUACAUGAAGGUGAGUUGGAUCCAUUGCCCUCGUGGUAUUAUAAUGCCAUUUCUUCACUCCCUAGGGCUAUCGUUGUUGUAUACAUGAAUUCUUUUUGGAAGAUAUAUAUGGGCCUGAUUCACCCAUAUAAAAUUAUUAUGCUUCACUGUCAACUAUCUGCUGUAGAAGAACACGAGAUGUGUGUCAAGCAUGAGGACAAAUUCAGAGCUGGUGUUCGAUGGCCUCUGCAAGUGCAUCCAUGCAAAUAUUGCAGGGUGGUAUGUGCCUUCCAUAGGCUGGAAGAUAACCUACAAGGCUACAACUACCCCAUGCACGACAGCUCGAGUUGAAUUCACGUCAUGCACUACAUCCGGGAGUACAACGGGCUAAACCUUGAGAGGCAGAUCACUUAGCAUCUAUUGGCCUAGCUGCGCAAGUCCAUUGCUUACAAGGUGAUCUCGAUGAGGGGAAACAAGGGUGAACUAUGAAGUUUCAUGAUCCAGGAUGUGAUCUUCUGAAGAUGAUGGAUGUGCUGCAGUCUGGCGUUUGGCAUUUUGGCUUGGUCUAUGAAGACUACAGAUUUCUGUGGAAGAUCAAAAUACCUCCUAAAAUCAGAAUGUUCCUUUGGUUGGUGCUGAGGGAAAGCAUUUUAAUUAGAGACUUCUGCUGAAUAGGGGUGGAAAAUGUGAAUCGGGUUGUCUUUUCUGUGGCCACAAAGACUCGAUAAAUCAUCUGUUUUGCUUAGUACAUUUGGAAUGUGAUCCAGUGUAGUCUGGGGGUUGAAUGUAGGUUCACAGAUGCAAAAGCCUGUUUUAAUGGAUGGCUUAAAGGGAUGCACUCCCAGUGGGUGUAGCAGCUGUUCUCUGGGGGAUUUGGAAAGCGAGGAACUUGGCGUGCUUUAAUCAUAAAUGGCCUGUUGAUCUGUCUAUUGUUAUGUUUCGAGUUGCCUAUUGGAUUACUGACUGGAGUGUCUUGCAGGUGUCGGAGGACGCAAAACUGUUACUUCUGGAGCAAGUCGCGGCUGAAGUUUAUGGCGUCAAAAGAAGCUGGGCGAUGGGAGCUGAUGCUGGGAUUGUGAUGUCUUAGGAUUGUGUUUGGGCUGCGUUAAUUUUUGUUAGUGUUCAUGUUGUGUUUCCGUCCUUGUUAGACUUUCCGGCUAUCGGCAUGUUGCUGGAGUUAAUUUCCUAGGCUGCUGUUCAACUAGGGUCUAUCUUCUCCCCUGGGUCGGUUCGAUCUCAGGGUCACUACACCACGGUUGUUAAUUGAAGGCAUUUUUCUAAGGGCAGUUUGUAAAUGCCUCAAAUUCGCGCUCAAAGGUGGCGUUUUAGGAAAAUGCCUCGGAUUGAUGCAGCUUUGGAGGCGUUCUAGAAAAGUGCCUCGGUUGAUCCAGCUUUUGGAGGCACUUUUGGAAAGCGCCUUGGAUUAUUGCAGAUUUGGAGGCGUUUUAGCAAAAUGCCUUUGGAUUGAUGCAGUGCAGCAGGGCCGGC